rnacentral:lncRNA from 1 species
GAGGCAGCAGAAGAGACGUCCGGCAGCCCCCAGGACUCAGGGCUCAGGCUCCCCACCCUCACCUCACUUCUGCCCAGUCCUCUCUGUCCGCUGGGUCCCACAUGGCCUGAAUGUGUAGGAAAAACAUGGGGGAGACAAAGCACUCUCAUACUUGUCCUUUUUCUGUGUAUGUCUCGGUCUGUCUCUGUCUCUUUAUGUCUGUUUCUCUGUGUCUGUUUCUGUCUGUCUGUCUGUCUGUCUCCACCAACAUGCUUCUCUCAUGGAGAAGACACAUCCAUCACCUAUCCAUGGCUGUCUACCAUCCUUCCAUAGUCCAUCAUCUGCCCACCUCCACCUGUUGUAAAAAUUUUAGUCCCAAUCUGUUUUUCUUUUUUAAAAGAUGUAUGUAUGUAUGUAUGUAUGUAUGUAUGUAUGUAUGUAUGUAUGUACACACACACACACGCACACACCAGAAGACACACCGGAAGAGAGCAUCAGAUCUCAUUACAUGCUGGGAUUUGAACUCAAUCUGGGAUUUCUACCCCACUCUGACCAUUUAGUUUUCAUGUAAAAGACACAUAAUUUUUAUCAUUUACAGUAAGCCUUGAGUGGCACAGAGCUGGACAGAUAUCUACCUCUGUAUUAUUAAAAUCUAUUUUUUAUUGAUAACCCG